rnacentral:rRNA from 1 species
GAAAUGCGAUACGUAAUGUGAAUUGCAGAAUUCAGUGAAUCAUCGAAUCUUUGAACGCACCUUGCGCCCCUUGGUAUUCCGAGGGGCACACCCGUUUGAGUGUCGUGAAUAUUCUCAACCUUUCUUUGGUUUCUUGACCAAGGGAAGGCUUGGACUUUGGAGKUUUUUUUUAUUUUUGCUGGCUUCCUCAGAAGUCAGCUCCUCCUAAAUGAAUUAGUAGGGUCUGCUUUGCUGAUCCUUGACGUGAUAAUAUAUUUCUACGUCUUGGAUCGUGCACAAGGCAGUUUUGGAUUCUGCUUCUAACUGUCUUUGCAAAAGACAAUGUUGCGAACCUUGACCUCAAAUCGGGUGAGACUACCCGCUGAACUUAA